CUAAGCAAUUGGACAAAGCCAUCUAAACCCAAAGCAAUGGCUCGAUGGAGUUCACCAGGGAGGAUCUUGCUCUGAUCUAAAUAUACAGUGGAAAUCUGAUGUGAUCUAGGCUGCUGCACCUCAUCUACUAAAACCAAAUCCUGGAAAAGAUUUCUAUGAGAUGGUUUCUGUCAUUCUUCCUAAACUGGGAGCUAAGUGAUUAAUAUAGAGGAAAACUCACAGAUAAACAUAUCUCUGCAAAUGCAAAUAAGUACUAAAGUGCUGGUAACCAACAUCCCCACCCUGGUUCCUCUUAGCACUUCAGUCAAAGGCACACUUCGAACAGAAGAAUCUGAACCACAAAUUUAGCCAGUCUCUACUACCUUCAGAAAGGCUUCCAGAAGUCAUUUUCCUCCCAGACCUCCUAGAUUUCUAAUUUCUCUAUUCCUGCUAGGAGGGACACUACUACCCAAUCUAGGAGUAUCUUGGAAGAUUCAAGUGGGAAACCAUUCAGAUCUGUCUCUUCCCCUCAUCGCAUCAACAUUUUAAUCUGUCUCUACACAACGCAGGAUUCACAAGGGAAGUCUCAAAUCCCAUAGCGUUGCUUACAAGCAGCGUGACAACAAGGAUGAAGCCAGAGAGGCACCUAUGGUACAAAAUUUUAAAAGCAUGAAUUUCCCUCAACCUUAAGAAGAGAUGGAAUGUUCAUAAUGAGGAAGAAGUCUUCUGAUUUUCUAAAUAGGUAAUCACAACACAGAAGAGUGAAGAAGGACACAGGCUCUUAGCCACCAUGGCCUAAAACUGUCCCACACCUCUUCAACUCACAUCCUACUGUCCACAACCAGUCAUCAGUCAUGUGCAACGUUCACACAUAAAAGCCCUGGAAAAUGAAGGCCAGUGAUUUGCCUAGGAAAAGUAACAAUGGAAAUGAUGUUAGACAAAAAGUGAAUUCAGCAGUUUUCUUAUUUGAAUUCAAAAUGGGUCAUAAAGCAGUGAAGACAACUUGCAACAUCAACAAUACAUUUGGCCCAGGAACUACUAAUGAACCUACAGUAUAGUGGUGGUUCAAGAAGUUUCAUAAAGGAGACAGCCUUGAAGAUAAGGAGCACAGUGGUCGGCCAUUGAAGUUGACAACAACCAGUUGAGAGCAAUCAUCGAAGCAGAUCCUCUGACAACUACACGAGAAGUUGCCGAAGAACUCAUCGUUGACCAUUUUAUGAUUGUUCGGCAUUUGAAGCAAAUUGGAAAGGUGAAAAAGCUUAAUAAGUGGGUGUUAGGAUCACCUAAGCAGACCAUUCCCUUCCCCUCCCACAGGCCUUACAAUACAGUCUCUUGCGCUCUCCACACAGUCACCCCAGGGCAAAAGACAAACCCCCCACUUCACUGACCCCUCCACUAACUGUUUGUCCAGGCAGUUACAGGAUGCCAUUAACGUCUGUUCACCUCACAUAACAAAGCUGGCAAAAAACAUCUCCAGGAUGCGGACAAGACACUUGCAUCCCCGAAUCAGCUCCCCGACCCUGACCCAGUUCCUCAUCCUAUAAAGCCCUGCUGUAGUCUGUAAGUGUGGCUGCCUCCUCUGCUUUUGUCAGGAGGUAGCCCGGCAGGACUGACAAUAAAUUAGCUUGCCUGAACUUGGGUCUAUUGGCCUCAUUCCUUUCUUGGCUGUCCUUCCAAUUAUCCCUUACAGUGGGAGCCUCAUGAGCUGAGCAAAAAUUUUUUUAAAAAAUUAUCAUUUUGAAGUGUUGUCUUCUCUUACCCUAUGCAACAACAAUGAACCAUUUAUCGAUCAAAUUGUGACAUGCGACAAAAAAUGUAUUUUAUAUAACAACCAUCAAUGGCCAGCUUAGUGGCUGGACUGAGAAGAAGCGCCAAAGCACUCUAAGGCUGAACAAAUUGGGCUAUGAAGUUUUGCCUCAUCCACCAUAUUCAUUUGCCCUUUUGCCAACGAACUACCACUUCUUCAAGCAUCUCCAUUACUUUUUGCAGGUAAAACACUUCCACAACCAGAAGGAUGCAGAAAAUGCUUUCCAAGAGUUCACUGAAUCCCAGAGCAUGGAUUUUUAUGCUACAGGAGUA
rnacentral:lncRNA from 1 species